CACCGCGGUUAUACGAGUAACUCAUAUUAAUACUUUACGGCGUAAAGAGUGGUUUAAGAACAUCUCAUAUUAACUAAAGCUAAGACCUCAUCCAGCUGUUACACGCAUUCAUGGGCGGAAUCACCAACAACGAAAGUGACUUUAUUAAACCAGAAAUCUUGACCCCACGACAGUUAAGCCC
rnacentral:rRNA from 1 species